ACUUAAAUAGCUCAUGUUUAGAGUAUAAUAUUGAAGAUAUUAUGGAAGUAAAUUUACUUUUAAGUA
rnacentral:tRNA from 1 species